rnacentral:tRNA from 1 species
GCGCCCGUAGCUCAGUAGGAUAGAGCGCGAGAUUCCUAAUCUCGAGGCCGCAGGUUCGAUCCCUGCCGGGCGCA